rnacentral:rRNA from 1 species
GACGUAGGGCGCGAGCGUUGUCCGGAUUUAUUGGGCGUAAAGAGCUCGUAGGCGGCUUGUCGCGUCGACUGUGAAAACCCGCGGCUCAACUGCGGGCCUGCAGUCGAUACGGGCAGGCUAGAGUUCGGUAGGGGAGACUGGAAUUCCUGGUGUAGCGGUGAAAUGCGCAGAUAUCAGGAGGAACACCGGUGGCGAAGGCGGGUCUCUGGGCUAGUAACUGACGCUGA